rfam:Mustela putorius furo unplaced genomic scaffold scaffold00024, whole genome shotgun sequence.
GCCUGGCCGGCUCAGUCAGUAGAGCAUAAGACUCUGGAUCUCAGGGUUGUGAGUUCAAGCCCCACGCUAGGUG